AAUUGUGAACUUUCCAUUUCUAAGUAGCAAAAUUCCAGCAGCACCUGCAUACGGGGUAUAUAUCUCCCAAUUCAUACGAUAUUCCCGUGCUUGCAUUUCCUAUCAUGAUUUUCUUGAUAGAGGGUUACUGCUCACAAGGAAGCUAUUAAACCAAGAUUUCCAAAUGGCGAAGUUGAAAUCAUCCCUUCGUAAAUUUUACGGACGCCAUCACGAGU
rnacentral:lncRNA from 1 species